CAAACAGUAAUCUCCGUCUCUCGCUGCGGUUUACACUGUUUUAGGAGCACAGAAAGAAACACUACAGAACAGAAGUGAAUCUCCAAGAUUUAACAUUUCUGAAGGGAGAUUCUGACUUAGAAAUACAGCUUGUUUUGUUCCUGGACUCUUCAGUGAUGACGAUCAGAGUCUGAGUGAACCUCCUGUCAGACAGGUUGGCCUGACUGACGAUGCCAUCGUCCAUCGGCGAUGGCUGAUAGACAUCACGAUGCUGCGCCGGCAAACAGCGUCAUCAGCUCCAGUAUCUCGCGCGUGCAUCUGUUGUCAUGCGACAGAGAAGUCACGUUCUAUAGACAGUUGUGAACGUGCUGACAGCUGGUUGCCCAGGCUAUGGAUUAAAGGUAAUACUGUUGGCCAGCAGAGCCCUGCUCACCCUGUCGGCCCACCGCUGCUGUCAGACAACAUCUCCAAGAUGCUAUAAACUGCAGGACUAGAUCGCCAUCCCAAGGUUUCUAGAGAUUACACCAGCUCCAGACUGAAUCCAGACUCACUUGUGAAGACUUCAGAUUACACCAACGCUCACAAAGACUACAACUGUACAUGAACACAUAAUACAUUUGACACACAAAACAAAUAUUAUCCUUAUUUUGCCUAUAAGGGUAAAUUUUAUGAUUUUCAACCUGCUUAAUUUUAACGUCUCUUAUAUCUGUAAAUGAACAAUAUUUACUCUCUGAGUUAUGUGGACCUACAUGUCCCCUUUUAUUUGUAAGCAUCACUCUGCAGGAUGAUCCAAAAUGAAAUGACGAGUUUUGACGAAAUGACACAAUGCAGCAUCUAAAUGAAAACAUGCUGUUUUGCAUCAGUUUUGCUGGCAAAUAAACGGUAUCUUGGAGAAAAAAUAAACAUUGUUCUUUUACAAAUGUUACCAACAAUAUAACAAUACAAAAUGGAUUGAAUUUUUUUUUA